AGACUUCUGUAUCUAUGCUGAGAUUUCGUCACACACCAGACUACAAGGGCCGAUGAGACUUCUAAGACAAGUGAAGCA
rnacentral:pre_miRNA from 1 species